GAACCCUUCCUCAGGCUGCAGCCA
rnacentral:siRNA from 1 species